UUUAGAGAGAGAAGAAGGAAGACGGAAGAGAGAAAAUAGGAUUGGGCUCCCAUUAGGGUUUAUAGAGAGAAGGUUUUAAAGAGACAAGAAAAGAGAAGCUUUACAAACCCUGCCAUUAGGGUUUACAGAUAGAAGAACGAAGAAGCUUCAGAAACCCUGCCAUUAGGGUUUCUAGAGAGAAGAGGGAAGAAAAAGGAGGAAGCUUCUCAAACCCUGCCUUUAGGGUUUACAGAGAGAAGAACGAAGAAGCUUCACAAACCCUGCCAUUAGGGUUUAUAGAAGAGAGAAGAAGGAAGAAGCUUCACAAACCCUAAUGGAAGACGCCUUAACUGAUUUUUAGAGAGAGAAAAGGAAAAUGAGAUACUGAUUUGGGAUAGUUUGACGAGGGUUUUUCUCUUUGAUUUGGGAUGUUGUUUGAGAAAAAGCCCUAAAUUUGUGAAGAGGCCCUAACUGAUUUUUAGAGAGCGAAAAGGAAGAGGGUUUUUCAUUUUCUUUGGGAAACAAGAAGCAUAGCUGAAACAUUAUGUACAUUUACUUGCUCCUGUAAGUUUACAGUUCAAAGUAUUGAUUACUUGGUCCUUAGUCACACUUUCUGCUUCUCAUUCAUCAGUAAAAGACUAUCUUUUGAGCUCUAGUUUCUGUCAUCAG
rnacentral:lncRNA from 1 species